GAUUAAGUUAUUAAGGGCGCACGGUGGAUGCCUUGGCACUAGAAGCCGAUGAAGGACGUUACUAACGACGAUAUGCUUUGGGGAGCUGUAAGUAAGCUUUGAUCCAGAGAUUUCCGAAUGGGGAAACCCAGCAUGAGUUAUGUCAUGUUAUCGAUAUGUGAAUACAUAGCAUAUCAGAAGGCACACCCGGAGAACUGAAACAUCUUAGUACCCGGAGGAAGAGAAAGAAAAUUCGAUUCCCUUAGUAGCGGCGAGCGAAACGGGAAGAGCCCAAACCAACAAGCUUGCUUGUUGGGGUUGUAGGACACUCUAUACGGAGUUACAAAGGACGACAUUAGACGAAUCAUCUGGAAAGAUGAAUCAAAGAAGGUAAUAAUCCUGUAGUCGAAAAUGUUGUCUCUCUUGAGUGGAUCCUGAGUACGACGGAGCACGUGAAAUUCCGUCGGAAUCUGGGAGGACCAUCUCCUAAGGCUAAAUACUCUCUAGUGACCGAUAGUGAACCAGUACCGUGAGGGAAAGGUGAAAAGCACCCCGGAAGGGGAGUGAAAUAGAACCUGAAACCGUGUGCUUACAAGUAGUCAGAGCCCGUUAAUGGGUGAUGGCGUGCCUUUUGUAGAAUGAACCGGCGAGUUACGAUUUGAUGCAAGGUUAAGCAGUAAAUGUGGAGCCGUAGCGAAAGCGAGUCUGAAUAGGGCGUUUAGUAUUUGGUCGUAGACCCGAAACCAGGUGAUCUACCCUUGGUCAGGUUGAAGUUCAGGUAACACUGAAUGGAGGACCGAACCGACUUACGUUGAAAAGUGAGCGGAUGAACUGAGGGUAGCGGAGAAAUUCCAAUCGAACCUGGAGAUAGCUGGUUCUCUCCGAAAUAGCUUUAGGGCUAGCCUCAAGUGAUGAUUAUUGGAGGUAGAGCACUGUUUGGACGAGGGGCCCCUCUCGGGUUACCGAAUUCAGACAAACUCCGAAUGCCAAUUAAUUUAACUUGGGAGUCAGAACAUGGGUGAUAAGGUCCAUGUUCGAAAGGGAAACAGCCCAGACCACCAGCUAAGGUCCCAAAAUAUAUGUUAAGUGGAAAAGGAUGUGGCGUUGCCCAGACAACUAGGAUGUUGGCUUAGAAGCAGCCAUCAUUUAAAGAGUGCGUAAUAGCUCACUAGUCGAGUGACACUGCGCCGAAAAUGUACCGGGGCUAAACAUAUUACCGAAGCUGUGGAUUGUCCUUUGGACAAUGGUAGGAGAGCGUUCUAAGGGCGUUGAAGCAUGAUCGUAAGGACAUGUGGAGCGCUUAGAAGUGAGAAUGCCGGUGUGAGUAGCGAAAGACGGGUGAGAAUCCCGUCCACCGAUUGACUAAGGUUUCCAGAGGAAGGCUCGUCCGCUCUGGGUUAGUCGGGUCCUAAGCUGAGGCCGACAGGCGUAGGCGAUGGAUAACAGGUUGAUAUUCCUGUACCACCUAUAAUCGUUUUAAUCGAUGGGGGGACGCAGUAGGAUAGGCGAAGCGUGCGAUUGGAUUGCACGUCUAAGCAGUAAGGCUGAGUAUUAGGCAAAUCCGGUACUCGUUAAGGCUGAGCUGUGAUGGGGAGAAGACAUUGUGUCUUCGAGUCGUUGAUUUCACACUGCCGAGAAAAGCCUCUAGAUAGAAAAUAGGUGCCCGUACCGCAAACCGACACAGGUAGUCAAGAUGAGAAUUCUAAGGUGAGCGAGCGAACUCUCGUUAAGGAACUCGGCAAAAUGACCCCGUAACUUCGGGAGAAGGGGUGCUCUUUAGGGUUAACGCCCAGAAGAGCCGCAGUGAAUAGGCCCAAGCGACUGUUUAUCAAAAACACAGGUCUCUGCUAAACCGUAAGGUGAUGUAUAGGGGCUGACGCCUGCCCGGUGCUGGAAGGUUAAGAGGAGUGGUUAGCUUCUGCGAAGCUACGAAUCGAAGCCCCAGUAAACGGCGGCCGUAACUAUAACGGUCCUAAGGUAGCGAAAUUCCUUGUCGGGUAAGUUCCGACCCGCACGAAAGGCGUAACGAUUUGGGCACUGUCUCAACGAGAGACUCGGUGAAAUCAUAGUACCUGUGAAGAUGCAGGUUACCCGCGACAGGACGGAAAGACCCCGUGGAGCUUUACUGUAGCCUGAUAUUGAAAUUCGGCACAGCUUGUACAGGAUAGGUAGGAGCCUUUGAAACGUGAGCGCUAGCUUACGUGGAGGCGCUGGUGGGAUACUACCCUAGCUGUGUUGGCUUUCUAACCCGCACCACUUAUCGUGGUGGGAGACAGUGUCAGGCGGGCAGUUUGACUGGGGCGGUCGCCUCCUAAAAGGUAACGGAGGCGCUCAAAGGUUCCCUCAGAAUGGUUGGAAAUCAUUCAUAGAGUGUAAAGGCAUAAGGGAGCUUGACUGCGAGACCUACAAGUCGAGCAGGGUCGAAAGACGGACUUAGUGAUCCGGUGGUUCCGCAUGGAAGGGCCAUCGCUCAACGGAUAAAAGCUACCCCGGGGAUAACAGGCUUAUCUCCCCCAAGAGUUCACAUCGACGGGGAGGUUUGGCACCUCGAUGUCGGCUCAUCGCAUCCUGGGGCUGUAGUCGGUCCCAAGGGUUGGGCUGUUCGCCCAUUAAAGCGGUACGCGAGCUGGGUUCAGAACGUCGUGAGACAGUUCGGUCCCUAUCCGUCGUGGGCGUAGGAAAUUUGAGAGGAGCUGUCCUUAGUACGAGAGGACCGGGAUGGACAUACCUCUGGUGUACCAGUUGUCGUGCCAACGGCAUAGCUGGGUAGCUAUGUGUGGACGGGAUAAGUGCUGAAAGCAUCUAAGCAUGAAGCCCCCCUCAAGAUGAGAUUUCCCAACUUCGGUUAUAAGAUCCCUCAAAGAUGAUGAGGUUAAUAGGUUCGAGGUGGAAGCAUGGUGACAUGUGGAGCUGACGAAUACUAAUCGAUCGAAGACUUAAUCAA
rnacentral:rRNA from 2 species